GUUCAAAAUCGUUUUCUUUCUCUCAAUUCUAAAGUGUAGGCAUUAUACACGGGUAUAAUGCCCCCUAAUUAGUGAAGCUCUGCCUCGUUGGUUCCGUAAUGGCUAUCGUGAUUAUAACCAGUGAAUCACAAAGGAAAGCCCUAUAAUAGCAAUGUGAGUUAUCAUCUUUUUUUGUAAACCUAUUUUGUGAACUGUUUUUACAAAACCUUAAAUAUUUUUUCCAUGCAAAUAGAAGUUAUUGAGUAUUUGUAAGAAUAAAAUUAUAGUCGGUAAAUUUGGGGUUUUGUAUACAAAAUUUGUUACAACCUGGAUAGGAGUAACAUGACCAUAAGUCGGAACGACAAUACCGUGUGGUGGUAAUUGAUAUAACUUGGAAACAAAUGUAAUUGCGGAUGCGCCCUCAAUACUGUACUAUGGUUUUUAUUUAAACUUGAUUAAACUGGGAUUCACUCACCAGUAUUUCCUGCUGAUAAAAUGUUUUUAACACGUGUUUCAGGUAACUUAGUGUGAAGUCAAUAAAAGCCAGCUGGAGAGCACUGAAGGCUUGGAAAAGUGGCAAUAAAGUUACCUAAAAGAAAUAGAUGUUUUUCUUAAAUAAAAAUAGGGUGUAUCCCAAUGAAAAUGUGUGUAUACUGAAAACUUGGGAUUUAUCCCAUGUGUUUAAUAUUAUGAAAAUGUGGUAUUUACUCUGAUCAAAUAUUUUCUAACUACGGUCCUGAUGAAAAUUCUGCUGCCAAAUUAGACAAUACACGAUACCACCGAAACUGGCUCGCGGCCGCCCGUUCCUGUGUUUGUAUAAGGGAUCGGGGGUUGUGACAGAAGGUGGUAUCAGAGCUAUGCCACUGGUUCAAGCCAAAGAAGUGUUCUGCUGACACUUAAGUUUUAAAUUCUGUGUUAGGAAAUAACUUAUGUAAUUAUGUGCUUUGACUAUUUGUUAGUCUACAGUAUGGGUAAGCAAAGAAUUUCGGACAUCUAUCGUCAAUUAGAUAGUUCACCAAAAGAUAAGGGAACCUCAUUUCAACUAAAUCCCUCAGGAUACUCAGUAAAUACUGAGGAAGGAAUAUUUAUUCGUAAGGCACAGUCUGAAAAACCAUUUACCACUAAGAAGAGAAGUAGGAUU
rnacentral:lncRNA from 1 species